CGGCGGACGGGUGAGUAACGCGUGGGUAGCCUGCCUCAUACAGGGGGAUAACAGUUGGAAACGGCUGCUAAUACCGCAUAAGCGCACAGUACCGCAUGGUACGGUGUGAAAAACUCCGGUGGUAUGAGAUGGACCCGCGUCUGAUUAGGUAGUUGGUGGGGUAACGGCCUACCAAGCCGACGAUCAGUAGCCGACCUGAGAGGGUGACCGGCCACAUUGGGACUGAGACACGGCCCAA
rnacentral:rRNA from 1 species